UCCGGAGUAGCUCAAUGGUAGAGCGGGUGGCUGUUAACCACUAGGCUGGGGGUUCGAGUCCCUCCUCCGGAGCGA
rnacentral:tRNA from 2 species